rnacentral:lncRNA from 1 species
ACAAGGCUUACUAUCUUCCAGACAGCAUUCAAAAGUUAAAAUCUCUCACAGUUUGAAUCUUUCUUGCUGCCUAAAUCUCCUUCGGUCUUUGCAUUCUCUGUCUAGUCUGACAUCAUUGAGCAUACUUUAUUUAGCGGGGUUCUCACAUCUCAAGAGUCACGAUCUUACAAUCUUGGCAACCUAGCGUCUUUGACGGAUUUGGAUUUAUCAGAAAACAAUUUUUUAAGGAUUCCAAUAAAUAUCCAUGAACUCCCGAGGCUUAGACGUUUGAAUCUAGACUACUGCC